CAGCCGCCACGGUAAUACAGAGGGUGCGAGCGUUAAUCGGAUUUACUGGGCGUAAAGCGUGCGUAGGCGGCUUUUUAAGUCGGAUGUGAAAUCCCUGAGCUUAACUUAGGAAUUGCAUUCGAUACUGGGAAGCUAGAGUAUUGGAGAGGAUGGUAGAAUUCCAGGUGUAGCGGUGAAAUGCGUAGAGAUCUGGAGGAAUACCGAUGGCGAAGGCAGCCAUCUGGCCUAAUACUGACGCUGAGGUACGAAAGCAUGGGGAGCAAACAGGAUUAGAUACCCCUGUAGUCCCUGUCUCUUAUAC
rnacentral:rRNA from 1 species